UGUAUUUAUUAGAUAAAAAACCAAUGCCCUUCGGGGCUUUUUGGUGAUUCAUGAUAACUUUACGGAUCGCAUAGCCUUGCGCUGGCGACGGUUCAUUCAAAUUUCUGCCCUAUCAACUUUCGAUGGUAAGGUAUUGGCUUACCAUGGUUUCAACGGGUAACGGGGAAUUAGGGUUCGAUUCCGGAGAGGGAGCCUGAGAAACGGCUACCACAUCCAAGGAAGGCAGCAGGCGCGCAAAUUACCCAAUCCCGACACGGGGAGGUAGUGACAAUAAAUACUGAUACAGGGCUCUUUUGGGUCUUGUAAUUGGAAUGAGUACAAUUUAAACCUCUUAACGAGGAACAAUUGGAGGGCAAGUCUGGUGCCAGCAGCCGCGGUAAUUCCAGCUCCAAUAGCGUAUAUUAAAGUUGUUGCAGUUAAAAAGCUCGUAGUUGAAACUUGGGCCUGGCUGGCGGGUCCGCCUCACCGCGUGCACUCGUCCGGCCGGGCCUUCCCUCUGAAGAACCUCAUGCCCUUCACUGGGCGUGCUGGGGAACCAGG
rnacentral:rRNA from 1 species